UACAGAGGUCUCAAGCGUUGUUCGGAUUCAUUGGGCGUAAAGGGUGCGUAGGUGGCGCGCUAAGUCAGGUGUGAAAUUUCGGAGCUUAACUCCGAAACUGCAUUUGAUACUGGCGUGCUUGAGGACUGGAGAGGAGACUGGAAUUCAUGGUGUAGCAGUGAAAUGCGUAGAGAUCAUGAGGAAGACCAGUGGCGAAGGCGGGUCUCGUGGACAGUUCCUGACACUGAGGCACGAAGGCCAGGGGAGCAAACGGG
rnacentral:rRNA from 1 species